rnacentral:rRNA from 1 species
AUUGAACGCUGGCGGCAGGCUUAACACAUGCAAGUCGAGCGGGGUGAUGGUGCUUGCACUAUCACUUAGCGGCGGACGGGUGAGUAAUGCUUAGGAAUCUGCCUAUUAGUGGGGGACAACAUCUCGAAAGGGAUGCUAAUACCGCAUACGUCCUACGGGAGAAAGCAGGGGAUCACUUGUGACCUUGCGCUAAUAGAUGAGCCUAAGUCGGAUUAGCUAGUUGGUGGGGUAAAGGCCUACCAAGGCGACGAUCUGUAGCGGGUCAGAGAGGAUGAUCCGCCACAAUGGGACUGCGAAACGGCCCGGACUGCUACGGGAGGCAGUAGUGGGGAAUAUUGGACAAUGGGAGGAACCCUGAUCCAGCCAUGCCGCGUGUGUGAAGAAGGCCUUAUGGUUGUAAAGCACUUUAAGCGAGGAGGAGGCUCUUUUGGUUAAUACCCAAGAUGAGUGGACGUUACUCGCAGAAUAAGCACCGGCUAACUCUGUGCCAGCCGCCGCCGUAG